rnacentral:rRNA from 1 species
UGGCGCACGGGUGCGUAACGCGUGGGAAUCUGCCCUUAGGUUCGGAAUAACAGUUAGAAAUGACUGCUAAUACCGGAUAAUGUCUUCGGACCAAAGAUUUAUUGCCUAGGGAUGAGCCCGCGUCGGAUUAGCUAGUUGGUGAGGUAAAAGCUCACCAAGGCGACGAUCCGUAGCUGGUCUGAGAGGAUGAUCAGCCACACUGGGACUGAGACACGGCCCAGACUCCUACGGGAGGCAGCAGUGGGGAAUAUUGGACAAUGGGCGAAAGCCUGAUCCAGCAAUGCCGCGUGAGUGAUGAAGGCCUUAGGGUUGUAAAGCUCUUUUACCCGGGAUGAUAAUGACAGUACCGGGAGAAUAAGCCCCGGCUAACUCCGUGCCAGCAGCCGCGGUAAUACGGAGGGGGCUAGCGUUGUUCGGAAUUACUGGGCGUAAAGCGCGCGUAGGCGGCUUUGUAAGUUAGAGGUGAAAGCCCGAAGCUCAACUUCGGAAUUGCCUUUAAGAC